GGGGUUGAGCCAUAGCUCAGUGUAAGAGCAUCUGCUUUGCAUGCAGAUGGCUCCAGGUUUGAUCCCUGUCAUCUCCA